AGCCCUCUUCACUGAUCCACGGGAGGUCAGUAGACAACUUUGGGGAGUUGGUUCUCCUGCCUCCACGUGGAUCCUAGGAAUUAGCUGAGGUCAUUUGGUUUGGUCUCAAGAGCCUUUACUCACUGAGCCACAGGCCUGCAUGCCAAUGAAUUUUUGAUAAUUGUUUCCAGGAUCAUUAGGUGAUAGGUUAAUUACAGGAGCUCGGGGAACUCACCAGCGGCUACACUACUGAAGAAAAUGUUUCUUUCUCCUCCAGCAACCAUUAACGGCCUAGAAAUCCUCCUCAGUCCCUCCCGACUCCACACCCCAGUCUUGUGCAGAUCUUGGACAGAUAACCACAGCUGCUGUCAGUCACAAGAUGGCUAUGGUAGCUGAAAACACCUACCUCUGAUCAUGGAGUACAUGGACCAGGACUUUCUCCUGAAGACUCACAAUCGUUCUGGAUGUAUGAACUGUCUUAGUCUAAUCAUCGUUAAUGGGCCUGAAGACAGGUCCUUCAUCAUCAGGGGACCUGCAUUGCCUCUUCCCAGGCAGUCUGGACCAAAUCAAUGUUUUACUGUGAGAGCGGGCAUCAGUAUCCAUGAAGUCAGAGAGCCCUGUCCACCACAGCAUGUCUUCCACCCGUAUUGCCUGUGCUCAACUGAAAAUAUUUUGGUACAUUUACUGCCCACAAACCCACCUCUUCUUCCUUUGGGCUAGCAUAAUACCGUGUGCACACAGACACUGCCCACAGUGCUCAUAGCAAACUCCUAAGUCCUCUCUGUUCAGCUGUGUGUGCUGCUCUCAAAAACUGGACAGUACUGUGCCUUUGACUCAGAAGUAUGUGGAAAACAAAACAGACACAGGAGGCACCGACUUGAUGUUUAAGAAUGAGUGGAUGGACAAAGACACGAGAUAGGCUGCUCAGAGAAGCUGCCAACGAAUGUGCCAGACUCGGAACUUGAAGCUGGUAAGGGAGGGCAGAGCUCAUCACGGAGCCAGAGGGGCCAAGCAAGAGCUUUGCAGAAAGUGUAGGGGCAGAGGGAAGGCAAAGUGGCAGAAGUCAGGUGAGGAAGAAGAAAGGGAAAGAGGCAAGCUCUGUGGUUUGUAGUCCUCACCCUGGGCUGGGCUGUGUGUCACAAGCAACUCAGAUUUGGCAGAGAGGGCAGAGGAAGACAGAAGCUCACUGGCCACACACUGUUGUUAGCAGUGGCUGAGAGCUAAACAUCUUCCAUUUUUGUGGGUUGUUGCAAAAAGUAGGGAAAGUAAAUACAAAGUUGUAAGCUACUUUCAGACUUAUGAAGAAAGUAGCCUUAUCAAUCCAAAGUUUUCCAUCUUGCCAUUCCUGCCCAAAUAAUUCAAUCUCUCCUCAGUUAUUGACUCCCAGGAGGGCCAUGGGGUUGCCAUUGGCAUCUUGGGGUCGGGUUGUAUGGCAGGAGGGGGAUGGAGUGGUUAUGUUCUUCCUUCCCUGCUCUGGCUUCUUGUGUCACAUAAUGGGACUCUGUCCGCUAUGAGAAGGUCAAGACCCAAGCCAAGAGCACCAUGUUUCAGAACCCAUGGGGCAUCCAGGUGUCAGCAAAGCUGGCAAGAAUGGCCACUCUUCAGUUUCUAGGCCCAAAGUAGCACCUUGCAGGCUCUAAGACUUGUAAAGCAGCUCUCAGCGCUGAGUUUCCCCCUCUCACCAUCAGGACUACACGAGUCUAAGAUGCGAGGCUACAGGUGUGACGUCUGUGUCAUGGUCAAAGCAACCAAUAUUUUCCAACUUCUCCCUUAUGUGUUCCAGUCUCCUUGGCAGCUGCAGCUGGUUAUAUGACUCAGUGAGACUUAAGAGAGAGUCCACUUUGAUCUUCCAAAAGGCUUUGUUUGCUCACUAGGAAGGAUACAUAGACUGUCACCAUUUCUCCUAAGGCCCGGCCAUCUUCCUUUGUUGAAUGAGGACAAACGCCUGGGAAUUCCACAGCUAUCCUGUGAUCAUGACAGGAUCCUGUGAUCAUGAGAGUCCUGACUCUGAAAUCUAUACCAGCUCUGAACUCAUUCCUCCAGUCUUUGUGGGGAGAGAGAGACAGACAGACAGACAGACUGCCUCUCAGCCUGAGGCAUGCCCCUCUUGGUUUCACCUUUAACUUUGGCACAUUAUGUGCUGAUGCUAUGACCCCAUUUCAUAGGGGUCAAGUUGUUCAUUCACAAAUCACCUGAUGGACAAUGGUCUGGAGUCACCAAGGGUGGCCCUGCCUGCUGUUUGUUGCUACUGAAGGAGAAAGGUAGGUCUCCACCGAGGGUAGUAGAGGCAAUAAUGUAGCUGCUUUUGAUGGCAUUGGUGCCGGACCAAGUCUGCUGGCAAUUGCCCUCUGGCCACGUGCUCUGCCUCUGGGCCUGUGACUUGGUAUGUUCCUAUCGAGAAAUGUAGGGGCUUGGAGAAAGCCAGCCCGAUAUCUUGGCCCUCAUAGAUGAGAUGUUGGUAUUUAUUUCCUAAACAUAGGACAUCAUUUCAGAGAAAAGACAAGGGUAUAUAGGCAGAAAAGAAAUAGGGUUUGGAUAAAUUGGUAGCCUAUUGAAAUAAUUGAACCAGUGACCACCAAGAAUGUGAGCAUUCUAGUUUGUUUUGUUUUUAAAGCUAUAUAGUGUAGAUUCCUAGGACUGAAGCCUAAGACUGUCAGAGUAGAGAGGGCUGAUGAGAACCCAGCCAGGGAGAUUCGAAUAGAAAUGUGAAAUUAAAUAUGCCACCAUUUCCUAACCCCUUACCCCAGUAAUCCUUCUUAAUGAAUAUAUUACCUAAAGGUGUGUGGGAGGGACCGGGCAAAGAGUUGGAUUCUGGGAAUUCUCUUUAGAGAGCAAAGGAUGUGGAGAAGCCAUAAUUGUCCAUUGUGAUCAUGUCUUAGUCACGACAGCUGUUCCAUCUGUGUGCUUGUUUUAUACUGGUAACAGCCAGGAAGAUGGCUCAGCAGUGUUCUGAUCCCCGGAGCCCACAAAAAUGCUGGGCAGCCUUGGCAGCCUGCCUAUAAUUCCAGCUCUGGGAAGGUGGAAGGCUGAAGUAGGGUAUCCCUGAAGCAAGCUAGACUAGUGGAGUAGUGUGGAGAGCAGUAAAGGAAGAUUCCUGAGGUAAGCCUCAGGCCUCUACAUGUACACACACACACACACACACACACACACACACACACACACACAUGCCCCCACACAUGCGAACACAUACAACACAUGUAUAGAAAUUCAAAAAGAUUUUCUAGAAUUUUCUUUUUUUCAAAUCUAUUUUUCCCCUACAGGGUCUGGAAUUAAACAGGAAUUCUUUCACAUUAAUGGUUGUUAUGAACCCAGUUUCUAUCUAGAUUACCGGAUAAGGACUGAUAUGAGGUACUAAUGAGAUGGCCCAGAAGGUAAAGACACCUGACACCAAGAAUGACAGUUUGAGUUUCAUUUCCAGGACCCACCUGGUAGACGGAGAGAAACCACUCCCCAAAGUACUCGUCGUCAUCUGUCCUCCACAAGUACCACGUACCUGUGACCGUGUGCUGCCCCUCUCCAUCUCCUGUGCGCGCUCUCUCUCUCUCACAUACACACACCAAAUAAUAAAUACGAUAAACAUUUUUAAAAAGAGUAUCACAAAUGUGAAAGGAUGUUUCAAACAAGAAAAGGUGUCUUUAUUUUUGUUACUAGAAAGGGAUGUAAGGAAACGAGCAUUUCUUGGUCAUGUUUCUUUCUACCUGGGACACUUGGCUGUGGAGAGCUGUCCUGUAUAGUGCAAGAUGCUUGGCGGUGCCUUCAGCCUCUAUCCAUAUGCCGCUAGCAUAUCUCAGUUGUGACAACUGAAAAUGUCUUCAGGAGCUGGAGAUGUAGAUCAGUUGUCACAGUGCUUGCCUGGCACACACAAGACCCUGGGUUCAAUGCCCAGAGCUGCAUAAAUCCAGAAGUGGCAAAUUCCCAUAAUCUCAGCCCCAGAGGCAGAACAAAACUAAGUUCAAGGUCAUUGUCAACUAAAUAAUGACUUUGAAGCCCACCUGGGAUACAUCAGAGCAUGUCUCAAAUGUCCUCUAGGAGAUGAACCCCCCCCCCCCAAUUGAGAGUCUUGGAUCUUAUUAGUCAUCUCUUACAUAGCAUCAGGGCACUGUGGUUGUCAACCUGUCAAGGCUGAGAUCUCUGCACAUUGGCGACUAAAUGGGGUUCAAAGAAACAGUCUUGAUGGUAACUCCCUUAAAUCCCAAGGAAUGGCAAAGGCACAAGAACGGAGUCCACGGCAUCUCCUACCCAAAUCUGCCUUGUGUCUUCUCUAAAGUGCAACAGCAACCGGCCCCUUGCUGCCUUUCCCCAGAGUACAUGCGCUGGCAUCUAUGUGCCCAUCUUCCUCUCCGACACCUUUGGACACAUUUCAUGGCCUCUGUCCUCUAGAGGCUCUUUCAAGACAAACUUGUUCUUUCUUUGUUUCUCCUUAGAAUGCACUCCUGUGGCUUAUCCAUUUCCAGCCUCCUUCCCAUCAGCUUUGUUUUGCACCCAAAAGCCCAAAGAGCUGGUCUGGACCCUCUGAGCUCUUCUACACAGUUGCAUGUGGGUGGAUGGGAGGGACUGAGCAGCCCAAGAAGCACCCAAUUUAGCAGCGGAGGAGGAUGGAAAGGGCUGGCAGUGCUCAUGUGUGAGGAAGGUUGCAGAUUUUUGUCACCCCACUCACAGAUGUGCAGAGACGACGUACUAUCUUUGUUUCUCUAAAAUUAUUUUCUCUGUUCUGAAUCUCCAGCCGCAGAAUAGAGGGGGGCAUUUGAAUGAAAGAACUUAGACACGUCAAGUGAAUGGUCCAUCCUGCCAGCCUCACUAAGGCAACUGGAAAACCUCUAGAAGUGUAAGGGAGGGUGGUAUAUGGUAAAGAGAAAGGAGGUCACAUGUUCUGAUAUUUCAGAACUGUUUUGCCACCAUGCACACCUUUAUAGUUUACCUGCCACACAUCAUGUUUUGAUGGAGACGUUCCAUUGAGGCCUUCGGGCUGAAACCACAGCCCUGUGAGUAGACCACAUCUGUCCAGGCAAAGGCUGGAAGAAGUACAGAUUCCCACACAGGAAACUGGAACACUCAGACUAACUGCUGACAGACAGGAAAAGGGCUGCUUUGCCACCCGCAAGUCUGGAACCUCAAGACGAGCAAUCUCCCAGUGUGGGAAAUUUCCUCACAAACCCAGUGAGGCCAGGCUCUUUGAAGAGAUUGGUGAAACAAAGUCUUUCAUAUGGAAGGAAUAACAGAGAGAUAACACUCUUCCAUUUUGCAGCAGCCUCCUUUGUCUGGGCUCGGAACUCAUGGAUUCAUCUCAUCUAGCUCGUCUUGCUCUUGGGCUCCUGGUUCCAGAUAUUUCCAGUUUCCUUGUGGAAAUAAAACGUGCUUCAGUCUGAAGUGGGGGAGACAGUGGAUCCCAUGGGAGGAAGAAAAGAGUGGCAGCCUGUGGUCCCAGAGUGAUCCUUAAGGUAUGAUCAUAACAGGUACAAUUCAUUUCCUGGGCCUCUGGGCCCUGCCGCUUCCCUCCCACUCCCCUCCCACUCAUACACACACACACAGAUGCCCCCACCCUCCAUUCAGGGAAGACUUGGUCUUACGUAACUGGAGAGAAAGGGUGGGAAUAAAAGGCCAAUUGUUAGUGGAGGAGCCUCUUAGGUAGCAAUUUUCAUACUUCCUGGGAAAUCACCCUUUGCCCUCACCUUGGCCACUUCCAGGGUCAUUGUCCAUCCCCCCAUCAUGCCCACAAUUCUCUUCACAGUAAUUCACCCAGCUCAUGUGGGUGAGCUCUUGAGGUGGGGCUGGCAAGAGAGGCGCUGGAGGGUGCUCAGUUCUGUUCCCAGACUGUGGCAUUUCAUUGAGAAGGAACAAAUGGUGACUGUUCUGUGAAGCCACACAACAAGCUGCUUUCUCCUGCCUGUGACCUUUACUCAGGAAGAGGCCAAGCACACUCGUCAAGCCUCUUCAUUUGCUGCAAAGAGUCUGUGGUAAACACCAAGAAGGCUCUCAUUGUCAUCAAGUUUCUAGAAGCCACCGGAACUUCUCACACAGGGCCCUUGCUUAUUUAGUCAAUGGCUGUGACACAAUUUUACUGUGGAAAUGGGUUACUUGAAUAAUUUAUUUGGUUGGAUUUGGGUUGGCCUGGAUGACGGCCAGUAUCUUGUCAAUGUGGUGAUUCCAUGGCAAACAUGUUGAUUCACCCAUAAUUCACACCUUUUCCUAUAGUGCUUGCUCACAGAGCCCUGGUUUUGUAGCUGUUCCAGAGGGUAACCCUUUAAGGGAUUAUAUACGUCUGCCUUUCCAGGAUUGGUCUGUUGUGGGCUGCUGAGUGCUUUUGAGGAAGGCAGAGCAUACGGGCAUGAUGGCCUUUCUUAUUCCCAUUGGUCUUGGCGAGGUCCUGAUGCCUGGACUGCUCUGGGUCAUCUUCUGCCUGCACAUGCGGACAGUAAGGACAGAGCUGAGAGGUGAAUAAAAGGUGAAAAAAACUGAGCUCUAGAAACACCCACUUGGGGAUUCCUUGUGGGAUUUUCUCUGGGUUGCUGUCCAGUGCAUCCUAGCUGAUACACACACGUUUCCUCAGCGGGUUGGAUAUAAAACAAACUCCUCAGCCAAUGUUGAACACACUGGUGUGGUUAGUGUUUCAGCAAGAUGCUGCACUCCAAAGGACUUCUGAGGACUUUGUUGUUUCAUGGUGAGGAACUGGAGAUGGACGUGAAUGAUAAAUAUCCAGCUAAAGGACCAGAGAAUCCCCCUUUGCUUCCAACUCAACAGCAUCUUACCUCACAACUGCAUCUUAGGUUUAAUUAUUUAUUGUCCUUCCCUGAAGGAUUUAGAACUGAGAUCAUGCUCUCCCUUCCUCUCUUCUCCUUCUCUCCCUCCCUCCUGCCCUCCUUCUGUGGAGGCCCAAAUUACUCAGGGUCAGAGAAUCUGAGCUUGCUUACCCAGCAGGGCUGCAUAAGGGGAUGAUUUGACCACGGGUGUGGUUACCAGAUGUUUGGAAGGGUCUACACUUGGCUGUGCCGUGUGCUUUGAUCCUGCAAGAGGAAGGUCUUUUGCCCCAUCCCUUGGCAUUGUUAUAAAAAGCCCUUUUGAAUAAACAGAAGAGGCUAUUGGGUAUUGAUCCAGGCCCUCCCAAAGCUAUCCUGUGUUUCUGUCUUCUCAUUGUCUAGGUCUCUCUUUCUACCUAAUAUUUCUUAUCCCUCUCUCCUCCUCCUCCUCCUCCUCCUCCUCCUAAGAAUGCUAGAAAAGCUGGGAAAGGUAGGAGCGGGUCUCCCAUUGUCUCCUACGCCUUCCCUCCAUCUCUUCCACCCAUUAAAGUCUGUCGAACCUCCUCCAUGUGACUGUUUCUCAUUGUGUUGGUGAUGGGCUCUCUGGGUCCCUCGGCUGGGUAUCAUGUGCACUGUGCUGACUGUAGCGGCACUAUGGGCUGUGGGCACUUGGGUUCACAGCCUCCUCUACCUCCUCCAUCCAAAGCUGGAUUCCUCUGGAGACAGGGCCAAAAGAAGCCCCAGAAUCUAAAAAUGAUGUAUUCAGUGUCGAGUGUGCUGGCGCCACUGCUUUAAGUGUGGGGUAAAAGGACGUACUGCAUUUGAGAUCUAAGAGCAGCUACAUCAAAACAUGCAGAGUGGAUGUAACCCGCUGGGAAGACAGCUUCUGGGAAGAAGACAAUAUAUGCAGCCUCACCAAUAUUCACUCAACAACGAGGACGCCCAGAGAGGUCAAAUCUUUUGUUUCAUAAGUGUUAAAAUUUAUCAAUCUGUACACAAGAUUUACAUCCUACUGGAACAUUUUUUUAUUUAACUUAAAAAGUAAAAAAUAAAAAACGAAGAAAUUGCCUAAGUAGUUUAUUUCUAUUUUAUUUUAUGCAUAUGUAUGAGUGUUUUGCCUGCAUAUAUGUACCACAUAUGGUCAUAGUACCAGCAGAGGUCAGAAGAAGACAUCAGAUUGCCUGGAACUGGAGUUAGGGUGCUGGGAGCUAAAUUCAGAUCUUCUGCAAAAAUGUUCUUAACCAUUGUGGUGGUUUGAAUGAGAAUGGCCCCCACAGAUUAAUAUGUUUGAAUGGCUUGGUCCUUAGUUGGUGGAAUUGUGGUGGUAUUGUGUUCCCCCAAAUAUUGUGCACCCUAAUAAAUUUAUCUGGGGUCAGCGACAGAACAGCCACUAGAUACAAAGGCUAGAAAAUGAUGGCACUCACACCUUUAAUCCUAGCAUUCCAGAGGUAGAAAUCCCUCUGGAUCUCUGUGAGUUCAAGGCCACAUUGGAAAAAGCCAGGCAUGGUGACACACGCCUUUAAUCCCAGGAAGUGUGCCUUUAAUCCCAGGGAGUGAUGGCAAAAGCAGAAAGAUAUAUAAGGCCUGAGAACCAGAAACUAGAAGCAUUUGUCCUUGUUAAGCAUUUGGCCUGGUUAUACAUUCAGGCUUUUGAGCAGCAGUUCAGCUGAGACCCAUUCGGAUGAGGACUCAGAGGCCUCCAGUCUGAAGAAACAAGACCAGCUGAGGAACUGGCAAGGUGAGCUAGCUGUGGCUUGUUCUGCUUCUCUGAUCAUCCAGCAUUCACCCCAAUAACUGGUCUCAGGUUUGAUUUUAUUAAUAAGAACUUUUAAGAUUCCUGCUACAUGGAAUUGUUUGGGAAGGAUUAGGAGGUGUGGUCUUAUUGGAGGAGGUGUGUCACUAGGGGUGGGCUUUGAGAUUUCAAAAGCCCAUGUCAGCUGAGCAGUGGUGGUGCAUGUUAAUCCCAGCACUCAGGAGGUAGAGGCAGGCAGAUCUCUGAGUUCAAGGCCAGCCUGGUCUACAGAGAGCCUUCCAGGACAGCCAGGGCUACACAGAGAAACUGUGUCUUGAAACCCCUCCCCCUGCAAAAAAAAAAAAAUCCUAUGUCAUUCUUAGUUAGCUCUUUCUGCUUUGUGGUUGUUAUCUCAACAUGUAAGUUCUCAGCUACUGCUCCAGUGCCAUGCUCCCUGAUAUGAUGGUCAUAGACUCACCCUCUAAAACUAAGCAAGGCCCCAAAUAAACUCUCUUCUUUAAGUUGCCUUGCUCAUAGUGUAUCUUCACAGCAAUAGAAAAGUGAUUAAGAACCAUUGAGCCAUCUCUCCAUCCCUACCCCCUUUUGAGUCAGGGUCUCACUAUAUACUCCUGGUUGGUCUGGAACUUGCCAUGUAGAACAGGCUGGCCUUGAAGCCACAGAGAUCCAUCUGCCUCUGCCUCAUGACUAUUAAAGUAUUAAAGGUGUGUGCUCCCAUGUCUGGCUAUAAAUAAAUCUUUUUUUUUUAAAAAUGAACAGGAAUCUUAAAGGUAGUAACAUCAAAACAUCAAUCUUGUCUUUCCUACCCAAGGAGGACCAGAAAUGCAAUUCUAAUCAGCAAAGGAAAAAUUCACGGGUCCACUGAAAACUCCAGUUAUAACAUAAACUCCAGGUAGGGCUUGAUUUGGUGUUCAGACAGUGAUACUGGGCCUCAGUUUCCAGGCACGUUGAGGCUCUGCUGUGUUGUUCAUGUCUCAGGACUUGUAUUAGUCAGGGUCCUCUGAGGAGUGGUUCUGAACAUGUGGACCAUGACCUCUUUAGGGGGUCACACAACCCUUUCACAGCGGUCACACAUCAGAUAUCCACAUGACGAUUUCUAACAGUAGCAAAAUUACAGGUUUGAGGUAGCAACGAAAAUAAUUUGAUGGUUGGGGGUUCACAGCAACGUUGAGGAACUGUAUUAAAGGGUCACAGCAUUAGGAGGGUUGAGAACCACUGCUCUAGAGGAUCAGAAACAAUAGGAUAUAUGUAGCCCAGAAGUCCUAAUCUGGUGCUCAAAACCUGGAAGCUUCUGGAAGAGCCUCUGGUCCUUAGUUAACAAAGAAAGCCUGGAAACACUGGUUCUGAUAUCAGUGAAGAAAAUCAGCAGCAGCAGCAACAGGGGAAACCGACUCAUUAACAAGCGGGAAGGCCAAGGAAGCUAGAACAAUCUUCCUUCUGCCACACCUUUUUUUAUCUGGGGUGCUACCAGAAGGUGCUGCCCACAUUUGGGGUGAGUCUUCUCCAAUCAAUUAAGGCAACCAGGACAAUUCCUCAGGUAGAGCUCCCUACUCAAGUGAUUCUAAUUUGUGGCAAAUUGACAUUAAAACCAGCUGUCACAAACCCCAAUGUGGCCACUCAGUUCUGGGUUUUCCUUUGUGUUGGAAAGAUAGAGGGUGUUUCUCCAGAUCCAUACACCCUCAGCAACAAGUUCACUGGGAAGAGAAAUGUGCCCUUUCUCUUACCAGAGUCCUAGAAAAGUCAUUGUCUCAUUGGUUCCAAGUGGAUCACAUACACAUCGAUGGACCCAAUCCCUGUGACCAUGGAAGUACAAUGCAUAGCCUAGGUCACAUGAUUUCCCUUAGAGUUCUUUCCAGGCAAAAGACAACUUCCUUUCCUUCCCAAGAAGUCUGCUGGAGCCACUGUACCUCCAUUCACCCCUCUAGUAUCAUAGUGUCAUCACCAUCUUUUGCCCAAUGCCCGUGAGUUGCAGUUACCUGGCUGCCCAGUCACCCAGAUGCCUGUGGGAGAUAAGCCACAGGCCGAUUGGUUCCUGUAGUUAGUGUUCUCACCUGGCCUCUGAGGUUGGCAGCAUCUUCGUCCAGGACAGCAUGAGGUGAGUCCUGUCCUGUGAUGGUUUGGUGGUGUUUAGGUGUCCCACAGUUCCCUUCCCUUCCCCCUUGACUAGAACGGCUAUUGAUGGCCACUCAAGAAGGCCAGCAGGUCAUUCCAUUAUACACAGCUGUUGUCCACGGCUAGCUCUGACACUCUUAAGUGGCUCAGAUGCAGAUGGUCCACAGGCACCUUCUCUUGGUGUCUGUACCACUCCAUGUCACAUCAUGGCAUCCAUUCUUACUCAGUAGGGUCUCUGUAUGCACACUCAAGCCAUUUAGAUGUGUGUGUCCAAGGGCGCCUCUGUGUGUGUGUGUGUGUGUGUGUGUGUGUGUGUGUGUGUGUGUGUGUGGUAUUGGGGAAAGUAGUGCCUUCCUUAAGUUCCUGGCUAAAAGCACAUAUAACUACUUCCUGGACCAGGUUAAACUUGAUGAUGUACAAGCCAGUUGCCUUGAGUAUUAAAUCAAUGUUGAUAGCUUAGGUUGGGGGUAUCAAAGGUGGGCCCCACUGAGAAAAUCUGCCAGCAGCAUGCACACACUUUGCACUGAUUCCCUUCAAAGAGCUGAGCAGGGAGCAAGGCAGAGAGAUGCAUGGACCGCGGGUGAGAGGAGCUGCUGCGGAUUCCAGCUGGUGCACCAGUGACCUCUGCUGGUGGGAUUUCCCUCUCCCGGUGCACAAGAGGUAAGUGUCCCCUCCAAGAAGGUGGUUCUGUUGUCUUCUGAGAUCCCGGAAGACAACAGAGAGCAGAGCUCCUGGGCUUCCCUGCUCACGCUUUCAUUGGGGGCCUCAGCUGCCAGAAGUUCAAGUGAGGCUCUUGUCUUUGCCGCUACAGAAUUCCUCUCAAAGCUUGCUCACUUUCAGAUACAAUUACAGUUUAUUUAAAAAUUCUCAGAAAGGGUGCUGGAGAGAUGCUCAGUAGUUAAUGUGUGCUGUUCUUGCACAGAGACUGACUUUGCUUCCCACAUCAGCCUCUGACAACCAAUUGUAACUCCAGCUCCAGAGGGACCCAACGCCUUUGACUGCUGCAGGCAUCUGCACACACACGCACACCCUUACACACAGACACACAAAAUUAAAAAUGAAUCUUAAAACGAAAAUUCUCAAAAAGGGAGCUGGUCAGAUGGAUCAGCCCGAAUAAUGGAAUUCACUUUCUGAGAUCCAAAUGUUCGAAGGAGAGAAACGAUUCCCGAAAGCUGUCCUCUGAUCUCCACAUGUGUGAGUGGCGUAUGUCCCUGUGCGCGCGCGCGCACACACACACACACACACACACACACACACACACACACACUAAACAAAUGUAAAAA